rnacentral:rRNA from 1 species
AUGCAUGGAAACAUGGCUGUGACACGACCCGGCCUAGAAAAUCAGGGAAACAAUAAAGAAAACGAUCCGCUGUUUUCUUCUUCUUUUCUGUUCUGCUCGGGAAGAGGAGAAACAACAAUCAGACUGCCGCUGAUCAGCACGAAAAACGUAAUCGCCACUGACAAAAAAAAAGGAAAAAAAAGAAAGAAAGAGAGCAACGACGGACGAAUCGAAUCAAGCAAAUGCUGGGCGCCACCAACGGCGCGAACAACUCUCGAAAACGAGAAGAGCAAACAAAUGACCGCCAUGGCCAGCACCAACGAAGCUACCACAGCGGAAGGCACCUCCCUCCAGAACCGAACGAUAAGAGCCAAGAAGAACGCGGAGGGGUCGCCAUGGAUGACCCCAAGAGCAACUCCGCCAGAGCCUAGAAUCCAGAACCAAAUGAAAGGAGCCAAGAAGAAGAGCAAGAGAGGAGUCGCCAUGGACGAGCAGUGGUACUGUACCCGCGACGCAGGUGAGCCGGCGAAGGGCAGGUGGGCGGCGAGAAACGGGCUGCUCCCCUCUCCUCUUCUCUCUCCACACGCACUCACGCAAAAGAAGAGCUCGAGUCGAGUGGUGGUGAAUCGGAGCUCUCAGGAGGAGGGGAGAAGGACGAGGCAAAGCUCCUUUAUAUACACCAUGGAAUCGCGACUCCGUAAUGUAGUAAUACCACGUAGGCCGGGCAGCGGGGAAGAGCGCGGUGACGCGGAUGCACUGCACAGUGGCGACGCGCAACCAUGGCGACUGAUCACUUGUUUCCUCUCUUAUUCCCGGUUAAUUGGUGGACGGACGUACCACGGCCGGCGGGUCAAGCCCCCAAAUCUUCCAGGGGUACUGUGCGCGAGGGGAGGGGAGAGGGUGGCUAAUCGGUCGGCGAGCGCACGUUUCAACUUGCCGCCGAGAUCUUAG